rnacentral:rRNA from 1 species
GAUGAACGCUAGCGGCAGGCCUAACACAUGCAAGUCGAGGGGGAAGUUACUUUCGGGUAACUGAGACCGGCGUACGGGUGCGUAACGCGGUAUACAAUCUGCCUUUCACUGGGGGAUAGCCCGAAGAAAUUUGGAUUAAUACCCCAUAGUAUAGUAGUGUGGCAUCACCAACUAUUAAAGCUUAGGUGGUGAGAGAUGAGUAUGCGUUCUAUUAGCUAGUUGGAGAGGUAACGGCUCCCCAAGGCGAUGAUAGAUAGGGGUUCUGAGAGGGAUGUCCCCCACACUGGUACUGAGAUACGGACCAGACUCCUACGGGAGGCAGCAGUGAGGAAUAUUGGCAAUGGUCGGAAGACUGAUCCAGCCAUGCCGCGUGCAGGAUGACGGCCUUAUGGGUUGUAAACUGCUUUUGUAAGGGAAGAAUAAGGACUACGUGUAGUUUGAUGACGGU